GAGUAUUUAUAUGUCAUU
rnacentral:snRNA from 1 species